UAACGCGUGAGCAACCUUUCCCAGACAGGGGAAUAACACACCGAAAGGUGUACUAAUACCGCAUAAGACCACGGUUUCACAUGGAACUGGGGUAAAAGAUUUAUCGGUUUGGGGUGGGCUCGCGUCCGAUUAGGUAGUUGGUGAGGUAACGGCCCACCAAGCCGACGAUCGGUAGCCGACCUGAGAGGGUGAUCGGCCACAUUGGGACUGAGACACGGCCCAAACUCCUACGGGAGGCAGCAGUGGGGAAUAUUGGGCAAUGGGGGGAACCCUGACCCAGCAACGCCGCGUGGAGGAAGAAGGUUUUCGGAUCGUAAACUCCUGUCCUUGGAGACGAGUAGAAGACGGUAUCCAAGGAGGAAGCCCCGGCUAACUACGUGCCAGCAGCCGCGGUAAUACGUAGGGGGCAAGCGUUGUCCGGAAUAAUUGGGCGUAAAGGGCGCGUAGGCGGCUCGGUAAGUCUGGAGUGAAAGUCCUGCUUUUAAGGUGGGAAUUGCUUUGGAUACUGUCGGGCUUGAGUGCAGGAGAGGUUAGUGGAAUUCCCAGUGUAGCGGUGAAAUGCGUAGAGAUUGGGAGGAACACCAGUGGCGAAGGCGACUAACUGGACUGUAACUGACGCUGAGGCGCGAAAGUGUGGGGAGCAAACAGGAUUAGAUACCCUGGUAGUCCACACUGUAAACGAUGAAUGCUAGGUGU
rnacentral:rRNA from 1 species